CAACUGCUGAGUAGUACUUGUUUCUCCCAGUUCCUGCUGCUGCAUUAUUCUUACUAAUAUAGGAAUACAUCAAAUGUUGUGUGCCUGGAGUUAUUACAAGGGAACAGCAUAUUUGAUUUACAGUUCAAAACAACCUGCCUGUCUCAUUAGCUGACGGCAGCCUCAGCAUAAUGGUGUUGACAAUGAUAAAUGCACUUUUUUGUGUUUCAUUAGCAGAGAAGGGAGACAGCAAUGCACUUCCAUGAAGCAGUCCUCCGAAACAAGGCAAAAUUUGCUCUGAUGUAACAGCAGUUUCACCUGGAAGCACUGAAUAACUCUGUUUAUGUGAAAUUAAGGCUGAAGUUGCAUAAAACACCCAUUAUAUCUUCACCAGUUUCAUCCCUACAGGAAAUGCAGCAAGAGUAUCAUAUUUCACAUUCUUUCAGCUGAAACAAGGGAGCGUGGACUUUUAUAAAAUAUUUUAUAGAAACCCUUCUAAUCUUGUGUCUUGUUGCUUCAUGAAGCUCUUGCAUUUCUACAGGUUGAAUAUGCAUGCACGAGGGGUUGGAGCCUGUCAGAAAAUAUCAGAAGUUACCUCUGAUGUGCAUGGACAUGCUGGCCCUGAGAAACAAACCAGUUGCAAUAGAUGAAGGUAAUUUUUUUGAGACAUAAUACUUAUUUAGCAAAAGGAAAAAAAAAAAAAAAAAGGAUCCUCUAUGUUUCAUUUUGGCACACACUUGUUGAGAGUGGAAAGGUGGAGUGAGGCCACUGUUACAUUAGACAAGUGAAAAGUAAGAAGAGGAUAAUGAUCUAUUUUUAAGCUUCUCAGGUGUCAGUGAAAGUCAAGGAUAAAAAGAACUCACUGAUAUGAGAGACAUACUGAAAGAUAUAAGUUUUUUAAGAUUGUACAAGGAAAUGAUCAAAGGGCUAAUGAAAAUGGAAUCCCUGAAAUCUUAACUUCUGUAUGUGGAAAAAAAUCAUUUUCAAGGUAAAUAAUUUUACCAGAGGAUUCUGCGUCAAAGAAGAUAACAUAGUGCCACAACAAAAGGAAAUCAAGUUUACACUGACAAACUUUGGGGUUUACCUACUAGGUUUUCCAGAGAGAUAAUAUGUAUCAUAGAUUGUCAUUAAGUUACAUGGGUAUCUGAAACAAAUUUUUGUUACAUAGAAUACCUCUUACAAGAUACUAUUGUGAGGUUUCCGAUUUUUUUUGUUUCUUUUUUUUUUUUUUUUUUAACACACCCCAAGGUGGCCAUAUUUGGAGGCUAGCAGGUAACUGAGGUUUGCCUUCAAAGAUAUCCAGCAUAUCCAGUCAUUUUAAGUUUGAGGCCUUUACUGCAUACCCAUUUAGGAGUUUACAUAUGUGAAAGCAAAAAGCCAGAUUCUGUGCAUACUUUUCAAGGGUAUGUAAUUAAAGAAUAAAUGAACAGUUAUGCAAAGUCUAUGAUAAAAGCAGGAUGGUUUGCCUGGCCCCACAUUAGGCAGCAGGCUGCUGAAAAGCUGUGUGAGGGAAAGAUUAGAAGAUUUCUGGGUUUUCUGUGCAACUUGCAGAUCUUGUACAGAAAUCAUAAAGGAACAGUCUGCUCUAUUAAUGAGCAUAUUUAAACUAUUCACCAAGGACAUGGACGAAGAGACUCAGUAGACUCUCAGCAAGUUUGCUGAUGAUACAAAUCUGGGAGAAGUGGCUGGUACCCCAGAAGGCUGUGCUGCCAGUCAGCGACAUCUGGACAGGCUGGAGAGUUGGGUGGAGAGGAACCUAGUGAAGUUCAGCAAAGGCUGAACUAGAUGUAGGGUCCUACAUCUAGGGAGGAAUAGCCCCAUGCACCAGUACAUAUUUGGGGCUGACCUUCUGGAAGGUAGCUUUGCAGAGAAGGACCUGGGAGUCCUAGUGGACAACAGGUUGACCAUGAGCCAACCAUGUGUCCUUAUGGCCAAAUAGGCCAAUGGCAUCCUGGGGUGCAUUAGGAAGCCUGUGACCAGCAGGUUCAGGGAGGUUAUCCUCCCCCUCUACUCUGCCCUGGUGAGGCAACAUCUGCAGUACCGUGUCCAGAUCUGGGCUCCACAGUUUAAAAAGGACAAGGAAUUACCAGAGAGAGUACAGUAGAGAGGUAAAAAGAUAAUUAGGUGUCUGGAGCACCUUCAUUAAGAGGAAAGACUGAGAACUGGGUCUGAUCAACCUGAAAGGUUGAAGAGGGUUGAAGAAAGAAAAGAUUGAGAGGGGAUCUUAUCAAUGCUUAUAAAUAUCUCAAGAGUGGCUAUCAAGAGCAUUGUACAAGACUCUUUUCAGUGGUGCCCAAAUACAGGAUGAAGUGCAAUUGAAGCAUAGGAGGUUUCAUCUGGAUGUGAGGAGAGACUUGUUUACGUUGAGAGUGACACAGCACUGAAACAGGCUGCCCAAAGAGCUUGUGGAGUCUCCUUCUCUGAGACAUUCUAAACCUACCUGGAUAUAUUCCUGUGCAGUCUGCUCCAGCUGACCCUGCUCUAGUAGAUGAGUUGGAGAAGACAACUUCCAGAGGUGCCUUCCAACCCCAACCUUUCUGUGACUCUGUGAUACUUGAAAUCUUUCCAUAUAUACUAAUAAAAGUAAUACUUUCUAAGAUGUCAAAUACACUUCUCAAGCAUGAUGUUUAAAAUCUAAAUGCACUAUGAAAGAUUAAAAAUAAAGAUUUCCAUGGCUUAUUUGGAGUUGGAUAGGACCCCAUUAGUGGGGCAUUGUGAUCUGUUUUUAUUCUCAGGGAAAUUAAAAAUGAAUGAGCAGAGACUGGGCACACCAAAAAUUUUUUAGUUGAGAACUUCUGCAUAUGUUCUUCAUACCAGUGUACUAUAUUACAAUAAUUAAGGAUUUUCAGUUUUAAAAUAGGAGUCAACCAACUGACUGUGUAACCUUCUUUCACACUAGAAGUUGAGCAUAGCAAGUUAAACAGGGCCAUUGAUUGUCAACCCUGUUAAGCAAUGACAUUGGGCAAGGCUGUUUCUAAAGGCAGUGUAACCUGAGAAUAUUAGAGAAAAAAAUGUGGUCUGACCAGAAUGAAUAGGAAGAAAAUGUUGUAGUUUAUGACAAUAGAAACAAACCUCUGCCUGUAAAAUAUCAUCAGAGGUCAUUGUUAAGGUACUUUCAGGGCACAGGAUGGAAUAAUAAAAGAUAAAGAGAAUUAAUCUUCCUAUUAACAAUAAAAGGGCUGAACACAUGUGACAGCAAUCAUUGCUAUGAAUGUAGGGUUAAAUAUCAUAGAACAAUAGAAGCACGAUGCAGUGCUCAAUGAGAACUAAGGACCAGACUAAGACCAUUCAGCCUGGAGGUAAAUAGCAGAGGCAUCUACUAUUCCAUUCAUUAGCAGCAGAAGAGGCUCCAAAAGGCCCAUUCUCAAUCUCCCAGCUACAGUGAAUAUUGCUAUUACAAUCUGUUAAUUGACUGCUUGCCUGAGUGUUCAGCUGCUGCAAAUGGCUAAUAUUGAAUAGAGGAGAGUCUGUGGUUUGGUAGAACAGGCCUGUAACAAGGAGCGAUGAAGAAGCUUACUCCCAGACAGCACCUCUACGUAAGGUUAUUAAAAGAACAUUUGUUUUAUGUAUUCUAUCUCUUCUUCUGUCAUUGCAGACGACAUUUGUGUGAGGUACUGACUGUUAGCUUCCUAAAAAUGAGUAGGUAGAAUUAGAGAUAUUACUCACAACAGAGAGGUGGGGCCCACAUAUAGCACUAAGUUAGUUUUCCCCAACUGCUCCUCACAAAGCACAGGUUUUACAAAUUUCUGUGUCGAGGAGGAUUAAGAAAUUGCCAUGAAUGCUUAAAUUCACUUCACUAUUUUGCCAUUUUUAUGAAAAUUGAAAUGUUCUGUGGCUUGAAGUACAAUUGGUCAUACAAUAGGACACAAUGUUCACACAAUCUAAAUACUAUUAACAAGAAACAGGUGCUGUGCAUUUUUACUUUUCCAACUUAUUUUUUUCUGCCAUAGUCUUGAAACCUCAGUUUACUGGACAGAGAAAUUGAUCUGGUUUUGAUUUAUCAUACUCAAACUGUGAGAUGCUGAAUAAUUCAACUGUGUGCAUUAUGAUUUAAAUACUGCAUUGGCAGAGUCAAGUUAUCAUACAAACCUGGCUCAUUUCUCCACUCCUUUACAGCAUAGAUUUUUUUGGGGGCCUAGAGCAUCUCUCAAUAGAGUAUGCUGCAGUUUGUGUUCCAGCAGUUCCAAGUCAUGUAACACACUUUCAAAACUUGCAAUUUGAAUGACUUAGCCAUCUCUUGAUCUACAGAAACUCUCAGACCCCCAUUAUCAGAGCUGUUCUGGAUUGGUUUUCAGUGUAGCCAGAGGUCAACAAAAGCUCACUGUGAUUAUGACAGUACAGGACAGUUUUAUCUAUUUCCCUGUAUCUUAUAUGACACUUCAUAUGCAACAUUGGCAUUCCAGUUAGCAUUUAAGUACAGAGAUUCAACAGAAUUUUCUGUGCAGGCAUCUCUGGAGGAGCAACCCUAUACAUCUGAGAGGUGACUCUAAUAUGCUAGUAAUUUCUAUAGUGAUUUUAUUUAAUUUGAAAGGCAUUAAAAUAAUUAAUGCUCUAGGUGGCUACACUCUCUGAAAAAUAUGCCACACUGUGGACUGAAUACUGAGACAUUACCUCAAAACUGACCCGAAGAUAUAAAAGCUCUGUGUGAGGCUACAAAACCAUUUUUUCUUGACCAUAUGUGGAUUCUAAACAUGCUCUGUCAAAAUAAGAUGACUGAUCUUAUUAUGUCUCUGUGGACAUUCUUCUAUUUUAAAUACUAGAAGGUGUGACUUUCUCCUUUUUUUAUUAAUCUGAGAAAUAGGAAGUCCUAAUGAUCGUAACGUGUCUUAGAUGCAUUGCAGUCUGUACUGUGCAUAUAAACUGAAUAUAUAUUUUUGUUUGGUUUUAAUAAAAAAAAAAAAAACUCUACUAA